rnacentral:misc_RNA from 1 species
GAUGAAGAACGUAGCGAAAUGCGAUAAGUAAUGUGAAUUGCAGAAUUCAGUGAAUCAUCGAAUUUUUGAACGCACAUUGCGCCCGCCAGUAUUCUGGCGGGCAUGCCUGUCCGAGCGUCAUUUCAACCCUCGAACCCCUCCGGGGGGUCGGCGUUGGGGAUCGGCCCUGCCUCUUGGCGGUGGCCGUCUCCGAAAUACAGUGGCGGUCUCGCCGCAGCCUCUCCUGCGCAGUAGUUUGCACACUCGUAUCGGGAGCGCGGCGCGUCCACAGCCGUUAAACACCCAACUUCUGAAAUGUUGACCUCGGAUCAGGUAGGAAUACCCGCUGAACUUAAGCAUAUCAAUAAGCGGAGGA